rnacentral:rRNA from 1 species
GUCCAGACUCCUACGGGAGGCAGCAGUGGGGAAUAUUGCACAAUGGGGGAAACCCUGAUGCAGCAACGCCGCGUGAGUGAAGAAGUAUUUCGGUAUGUAAAGCUCUAUCAGCAGGGAAGAAAAUGACGGUACCUGAGUAAGAAGCCCCGGCUAACUACGUGCCAGCAGCCGCGGUAAUACGUAGGGGGCAAGCGUUAUCCGGAUUUACUGGGUGUAAAGGGAGCGUAGACGGCGAUACAAGUCUGAAGUGAAAGCCCGGGGCUCAACCCCGGGACUGCUUUGGAAACUGUGUUGCUGGAGUGCUGGAGAGGCAAGCGGAAUUCCUAGUGUAGCGGUGAAAUGCGUAGAUAUUAGGAAGAACACCAGUGGCGAAGGCGGCUUACUGGACUGUAACUGACGUUGAGGCUCGAAGGCGUGGGGAGCAAACAGGAUUAGAUACCCCUGUACU